GGUAUGAGGCGGGGCCAGAGCCAUAAGUGGUUCAUCCGGGUUGAAGAGCAAAGGCGGGCCUGUUUACCCAGAAGAAGCACCAAUAGCAUAAUCCAAUCGCUACCGCCCAAUCGCUAUCAUGGUUGGAGCAUAGGUAGCAGAGGUAUGGGUAGGGGUCAAAUGCAAACAUCUACUAGGUAGGUUGAACUCUCCAUACUCAUAUCCGGUAGCCAGCCCCUGAGGCCUGAAACGAACUCAAAGGCCAUUCUUUAGGAAUAGGAACCUGGGGUGCGGUGGGUCAUCAAUAUGAGAGUAGAUCCAGGUUGCGAUUCGUUCCCCCGUUUGAGAGUCAGAAUCCUAGCCAGGUUCAGAUCCACUUUAUGGCGGAGUGGAAGCGGAGCCAAAAAGGGCGGACAGCAGUAAAAAAAAAGACACUCACUUCAGGCAUUAGAGGAAGCAGCACUGAUGGAAGGAAAGGCAUCACCCGCGGAACCAAAGGACACGGGGGCAAAAGCUUCUCCGGUAGCGGAGUCAGGAGUGGAGCCGGCUAUAGAGGCAGGAGGAGAGGCAUAACUUAUUGUUGUUCACUCAUUCAAAUAGUUAGUUGCGGUUCUCCAGCCAAUCACAGAGAUGGAGACAACAGAGCAGGAAGUAGCACCUACAGUUGACCAAGUUUCCCGAGUCUCACUAACGGCCUUAAUAGCACGUUGCGGCUAACUAUGAAAAAUCGGUAAGCAGCUUUGAGAGAGCGCGCGGCGCGCUAUUAUUUAUUCGCUCCUUAAUAGCAGCGGCUAACUAUUCUUUUUCCGGCCGGUAAAUGGGGAUUCCGGCCGGUAAAUGGGGAUCCGGCCGAUAAAAAGUGAGCGCGCUAGCGCUAUUAUUUAUUCGCUCCUUAAUAGCAGCGGCUUAUGCUUCUUUCCGGCCGGCGUUCUUGAAUUCUAAAACCUUCCUAUAGUUGAUGCUUUACUUUCUUUUUUUCCUAUUUCCCGUGUUUUUUGGAUGCAAGCGUUCUUUCAUUAUAAAACCUUCCGGAAGUAUAAAACCUAAAAUUAGAAAACCUAAGGAAACAACUGAAAAACUUGAUUGAUUUAUUUCCAAAAACCCGUGUUUUUUGGAUGCAAGCCCAUUAAAUAAUAGAUCCUAGAGUGGAUGCAAA
rnacentral:lncRNA from 1 species